CGGAGGAUGACUUCCCUCCCUCUCUCCAAGUAUUCCGCAACAUUCAAUGUGAGAUUCCGAAAGAAGAUUUCUCUCCACUGGCGACUAUUGGCACCUCGUCCAAUAAAUCCCACUCAUCGUAAUGGAUCGAGUUCGGUUCCAAUAAGAAGACUUCUCUCCACUGUUUUAAUUCUCAUUCAUCAGCUACUGAAGGUCCAAGGUUGAUAUUUCGGUUGCUCUGUUUUGUUUGACGAGGAAGUAAACAAUGAAAGUGUCAUAAUGCUAACGGUGUACAGCAAGUCAACCUUGUUUCAUACAAAAUAUCCCACUGUCAUCUUUGUAUUUGGCAAAAUCUCUCGGGAGGAUCAAAUGCAAACACUGCUGA